AAUUCUAAUAUUAAACUUUCCCAAAUUGCCUUCCCCGAUUGAAUCAAAUCCCUAGAAAAUUAAAAACCCAAAAUCCCCAUAUCGGUUAACCCUUUCUUCACCACCGUCCACCAUCAUUCCUUCAUCCACCGUUAGUCAUGAUCGACAUUAUCGGUACCAACUAGAGUUUCAUCGUUGUUCGAUCAAAACCUCUCUGGUUAUUUCCCAAAAAACACCGCCGAUUGACGUGGAGAACUUGGUGAAAGAUCAUCGAAACCUAAAAAACCAUGCUUUUGUCUCUGUCUGAUUCUGGCCACCAUAGGCAUCUGUAGGUCGGGUCAUCGCCACCAAUCGACUCACCAUCCCAGCCCGGUCAAAACUUGACCAGCCUCGCCCCGUUUAGGGUCGUCAUUCGCAACUAAUCAACCAUCAAAGCUUUGUCAAAGAAUCUCUAUCGCCGCCACUGUUUUGCCAUUUUGUGUUGAUCAUGACUCCUGCUCGCCUCACUGCUACUGUCGUUGGACUCCUUAUCUCUUUUCAACUAAAACCCACUGGGAUCCGUUACCUCAUCGUCGUCCAAUCAUUGUCUUCUAUUGAGGGGUCGUGUACUAAUUUUGCUCAUAGCGAGAUCGAGGCUCAAUAGAUCUCUCAGACCGACCCGUUUUUGGGAGAUAUUUUGGAUAGUCACCCUAGAACCGACACUUAGAGGAUUGACACAUUCUUUAUAGUAUAUUUUUGUUGUAAUAUUUUGGUGGCAUGUGCCUAUCAUUUUGAUACACUGGUUUUAUGACGUAUUUUACAUCACCUCUAUUGUAUGAAUAUUUUAUUUGACUUGUUAUAUUUCAUGUUUUCUAUCACUUGA